GUUCCCGUAGCUCAGCAGGAUAGAGCAGCCGCCUCCUAAGCGGCAGGUCGCAGGUUCGACUCCUGCCGGGAACG
rnacentral:tRNA from 1 species